CAUGGCCUUUUGACGAUAAUUUAAGGUCUAAUCUGCUCAAUGAAUAUUAAAUAGCCGCAGUAUUUUGACUGUGCAAAGGUAGCAUAAUAAUUAGUUUCUUGAUUAGGAACUGGAAUGAAUGAUUGGACGAGAAAAUUUCUGUCUCUUAUUGAAUUUUAUUGAACUUUAUUUUUAAGUGAAAAAGCUUAAAUUUUUAUAAAAGACGAGAAGACCCUAUAGAGUUUUAUAAAAAUUUUUUAAUUAAUAGUUAGAACAUCAAAUUAGAAGUUUUUAUUUGGUUGGGGUGACAUAAAGAUUGAAAAAAUUCUUUAAUAAUGGAAUUGAAAAUUUUCAAAUUUUUAAUCUAUAGUUUAUAAAACUAAAAUAAAUUACCUUAGGGAUAACAGCGUAAUUUUUCUUUAAAGUUCAUAUUAAAAGAAAAGUUUGCGACCUCGAUGUUGGAUUAAAAUUAAUUUUUGGUGCAAUAACUUAAAAAUUAGGUCUGUUCGACCUUUAAAAUUUUACAUGAUCUGAGUUUAGACCGGUGUGAGCCAGGUCGGAUUCUAUCUUUAGAAAAUAUUUUAUAUUUUAGUACGAAAGGACCAAAUAUAAAUUAAAUUAAUUG
rnacentral:rRNA from 1 species